GUACCUCUAGAAUAAGCCACGGCUAACUACGUGCCAGCAGCCGCGGUAAUACGUAGGUGGCAAGCGUUGUCCGGAUUUACUGGGCGUAAAGGGCGUGCAGCCGGGAAUGCAAGUCAGAUGUGAAAUCCAUGGGCUUAACCCAUGAACUGCAUUUGAAACUGUAUUUCUUGAGUACUGGAGAGGCAAUCGGAAUUCCUAGUGUAGCGGUGAAAUGCGUAGAUAUUAGGAGGAACACCAGUGGCGAAGGCGGAUUGCUGGACAGCAACUGACGGUGAGGCGCGAAAGUGUGGGGAGCAAACAGGAUUAGAUACCCUGGUAGUCCACACUGUAAACGAUGAAUAUCUAGGUGUGCGGGGACUGACCCCCUGCGUGCCGCAGUUCACACCAUAAGUAUUCCACCUGGGGA
rnacentral:rRNA from 1 species